AUAUUUUUUUUCGAAUCUUUCUGUUCCACGUUGGUUGAAACAGCGUGGAAGUUUUGGGCUUCUGCGCGCGUGGGCUUGGAGGUUGGACUGGUGGACUGUUGCUCGUGGGCUGGUGGUCGUGGGCUGGUGAUCGUGGGCUGGGCUAUGGGCAGGAUUUGUAAUUAUGUCCCACGCUGGUGGAACCAGCUCCACCAGCAUGGAACAUUGAAGGCUUGUUUUUUUUUCGCG
rnacentral:lncRNA from 1 species